rfam:Picea glauca, whole genome shotgun sequence.
AAUAUGGUUUUAUUUAAAACCAUUGCAUAUUUUAUGGAAUUUCAAGG